CCCUUAGAUGUCCUGGGCCGCACGCGUGCUACACUGACGCCUACAGCGAGUACUUCCCAGCCCCGAGAGGUGGCUGGUAAUCAGCAAUAGGCGUCGUGAUGGGGAUAGAUCUUUGGAAUUAUGGAUCUUGAACGAGGAAUGCCUAGUAAGCGUAGGUCAUUAGCCUACGCUGAUUAAGUCCCUGCCCUUUGUACACACCGCCCGUCGCUCCUACCGAUUUCGAGUGGUCCGGUGAAACUUUUGGACCGUGCGACUUUAUUGUUGUCACGGAAAGUCAGUUAAACCAUACUACUUAGAGGAAGGAGAAGUCGUAACA
rnacentral:rRNA from 1 species